AACAUUCAAACCCUAACUCUUACCAAAAUCCUUGAACCAAACGAUCCCCAUCUGACAAAGAUAUGAAUCCAUCUUUUAAAGUUCUGAUGAAGGAUUCAUACAUAAUGCAAGAUUAUAUGGUAAAUGAGUUCUUUUUUAUUUUAAAAUUCUAUUUUUUUUAAAUGAUUGUGAUUUUCGACUCGGUUUUGCAAAAGAAUCAGAAAAAACAAAGUGAUGUUUCGAUUUAAUUUUUGAAGAGGGGCACAUCUGGUUUCAACAAAAAAAUGAGUUUCAACCAAAUCCAGUUUAAAACAAACAGAUCUGGUAUAUCAAAGAAAUUAUUUUUCUAGUUUUUUUUAUUUAUCUCUCAGCCAACCAAGUAAUACAAAAAAAUUGAGUUUCAACCAAAAUCCAGUUUGAAACAAACAGAUCUGAUUGUAAUAAAAUAUCAAACAAACUGUUUUUUUAAUAAUCUCUCAACCAACCAAGUAACAUAAAAAAUUGAGUUUCAACCAAAUCCAAUGUGCAACAAACAGAUCUGCAUGUAAUAAAAUAUCAAAGAAACUGUUUUUUUAUUAAUCUCUCAACCAACAGUAUGCAUAUUGCAUUAUUUCAAUUUUUCUUUUUGUUUGUAGCAUAUUCCAAAAUAUUUUUAUGGACACCUUCCUGAAUCACAUAGCUCAGCGGUUCUUCACUAUGAUGGCCAGCCUUGGUUUAUGGAAAUUAACAUGGGUAAGCGGAGAGGGUUCAAAUACGGUUG
rnacentral:lncRNA from 1 species